CCAUAGCCCGUACCCUAAACCGACACAGGUGGACUGGCAGAGUAUGCUAAGGCGCUUGAGAGAACUGUAUUGAAGGAACUAGGCAAAUUGCCCUCGUAACUUCGGAAGAAGAGGGCCCGAUUCUUACGCAAGUAGGAGUCGGGGGCACAUAGCAGGGGGUGGCGACUGUUUACUAAAAACACAGGACGCUGCGAAAUCCAAAGAUGACGUAUAGCGUCUGACACCUGCCCGGUGCUGGAAGGUUAAGAGGAGAUGUGAAAGCGUUGAAUCGAAGCCCCAGUAAACGGCGGCCGUAACCAUAACGGUCCUAAGGUAGCGAAAUUCCUUGUCGGGUAAGUUCCGACCUGCACGAAAGGCGUAACGACUUCCCCACUGUCUCCAAUACAGGCUCAGCGAAAUUGAAUUCCCCGUGAAGAUGCGGGGUUCCCGCGGUCAGACGGAAAGACCCCGUGCACCUUUACUGCAACUUUACACUGGCAUUAGGAAUGGGAUGUGUAGAAUAGGUGGUAGGCAUUGAAGCCGAGGCGCUAGCCUUGGUGGAGCCGAAAUGUGAAAUACCACCCUUCUUGUUCCUGAUGUCUAACCGCGGUCCCGAAACGGGAUCCGAGACAGUGUAUGGUAGGCAGUUUGACUGGGGCGGUCGCCUCCCAAAGAGUAGCGGAGGCGCGCGAUGGUAGGCUCAAUCCGGUCGGAAAUCGGAUGGUGAGUGCAAUGGCAAAAGCCUGCCUGACUGCAAGGUCGACGGACCAAGCAGAGACGAAAGUCGGUCAUAGUGAUCCGGUGAUCCCGCAUGGAAGGGUCAUCGCUCAACGGAUAAAAGGUACGCCGGGGAUAACAGGCUGAUCGCACCCAAGCGUCCAUAGCGACGGUGCGGUUUGGCACCUCGAUGUCGGCUCAUCACAUCCUGGGGCUGUAGCCGGUCCCAAGGGUAUGGCUGUUCGCCAUUUAAAGUGGUACGUGAGCUGGGUUUAGAACGUCGUGAGACAGUUCGGUCCCUAUCUGCCGUGGGUGUUCGAAACUUGAGAAGACUUUUUCCUAGUACGAGAGGACCGGAAAGAACGUAUCUCUGGUGGAUCGGUUGUCACGCCAGUGGCAUAGCCGAGUAGCUAAAUACGGACGAGAUAACCGCUGAAAGCGUCUAAGCGGGAAACUCACUUCAAAACUAGGUUUCGCUUGAGAGCCGGGGAAGACUACCCCGUCGAUAGGCCAGGUGUGUAAGCGCAGCAAUGCGUUGAGCUUACUGGUACUAAUUGCUU
rnacentral:rRNA from 1 species